GGAGCCAAGUAACUUAAAAAAGAACCUACCGCUCUCACGGUCUAAGUGGUUAUUAACCAGCUAGAACGCCGGCUUCAAGAAUGCCACCCUUCUCCUUACAGUCGGCUUCUCAGGCAACACUUUGUUGGCUGAUUGUUGCAGUAAAUGAGAACUGAUCCGGGGGAAAACAAAACCCUUUCGUGUUAUGCAUGGAUGUGCCCAAGGAAACUGGAGCACACAGAGUGAUGCUGAGAUGGGGCAGAAAGGGGCCCAAAUAUGACGCACAGAAAUCACAGCCUCAGUUUUACCCAGCAACGCAAGAGAGGCUGGAAGAAAGAGGAGGCCCCCACGUGAAGGUGACGCAAUUCAUUCACAGGCUUGACGCAAUUUCAGACGGAAUCCAUAGGAUUAUUUGUGAGGGAGGAGUCUUGACAAAUGUAAAGUCUCAAAGUUUUUCUCAGGGUAUAUUCAGAGAAGACCACGUGGGAUUCUGAAGAAGAGCAGGGUGAGACUGUGCCAUUUAGGGAGCACUGGCGUUGUCGGAGGGAGCACGGAAGUAGCAAGGGGAUAGAAGAUCCCACUGUCCCCUGGGCACAAUCUAUGGGCUGAUGCUGCACAUACUUGAGUUCAAUGUGGUUAUACAGAGAAAGAGUAAAUAAACAGCAAUAAAUAAAAUUAAUCCUUGUUGCAACAAGGAUGCACAUAAAUAGUAAAAUAAUCAGUAUAAAUUCUCAUCUCGCACCAUGGCCCUAAGUACUUUCCUGAUGAAUUAAACAGAUAAUACAUCACAGAACAACUUCAGUGGGUAUAAAUUUUAAUAUUCCUCAAACUUCUAGAAGACAAAAAACUAAAUGUCCAAGGGGUAGAAAGAAAAUUGUAAUGGAAGUUAACUUGACUACAGAACAUAAAUGAAUGUCAGAUUUUUCUGAUUUCAAAAUUAGAGAUUGUCAUAUUUGCUGCAAAGUGUUUCUUUUUUUGUUUUCUUUUUGUUUUCCUUUCUUUUAAUAGCUGCACCCACGGCAUAUGGAGGGUCCCAGGCUAGGGGUCAAAUCAGAGCUACCCCUGCCGGCCUACACCACAGCCACAGCAAUGCAGGAUCCGAGCCAUGUCUGCGACUUACACCACAGCUCACAGCAACCCUGGAUCCUUAACCCACUGAGUGAGGCCAGGGAUCAAACCUGCAACCUCAUGGGUACUAGUCAGAUCCAUAACCCCCUGAGCUACAAUGAGAACUCCUGCAAAGGGUUUCUAAAAACCUUGAUAUCUUAAUUCCAAAGUAUGAUUAUAGAGACUGUAGAGGAAAAUGGACAAAGCAAAGAAGUGGCCAAGUCACUUGAAGACACACAGAUGCAAGAAUAAACUUGCAUAUGGGAAAAUGCCAAGCCCUGAUAUUGAAAUAAAGCAAGAAAGACAGAACGGUCACUGAAGUAAACAUUUAAAAUGUAUGCAUUUAAAAAUAAAAUGAUCCUUUGGGAAUAUAAAUUGGCGCAACCACUGUGGAAAACAGUAUGGAGAUUCCUCAGAAAACUAAAAAUAGAAUUACCAUUUGAUCCAGCAACCCCACUCCUGGGCAUCUAUCCAGAGAAAACCAUGACUUGAAAAGAUACACGGACUCCAAUGUUCCUUGCAGCACUAUUUCCAAUAGCCAAGACAUGGAAACAACCUAAAUGUCCACGGAAAGAGGAGUGGUUCAAGAAGAUGUGCUACCUGUACACAAUGGAAUAUUACUCGGCCAUUAAAAGGAAAGAAAGAAUGGCAUUUUUAGCAACAUGGAUGGACCUAGGAAUUAUCAUGCUAAGUGAAGUCAGUCAGACAGUGAGACACCAACAUCAUAUGCGAUCAUUUACAUGUGGAAUCUAAAAAAAGGUCACAGUGAACUUUGCAGAACAGAUGCUGACUCAUAGACUUUGCAAAACUUAUGUUUUCCAAAUGAGAUGGGUUGCGGAGGGCUGAGGGGAUGGGCUGGGGGUUUGGGAUGGAAAUGCUAUAAAAUUGGGUUGUGAUGAUUGUUGUACAGCUCUAAAUGUAAUAAAAUUCAUUGAGUAAUAAAAUAAAAAAUAAAAUGAUCCUUUGCUAGAGAGAGUGUGAUGGGACAGGUAUGUUUACACUUAGAAGAAAUUUCUCUGUGUUUAUCUUUUGAACACUAGGGAUCUUCUCAUGCCUAAUAUCUCCUGUCUCCGUCCUUGCAUAGACCACUGGAAGGCAGACUCUUCUUUUGGCUCACCCCUAAUAAAGGUACCUCUGUGUGGCCUCAAAUAUAGCAUAAAAGCUCAAAUUCUGGUGUUUGAAUAUUACCCUAUGACUGGUUUGGCAAAAUUGGGCAAGUUGCUAACUUUCCAUGCCUCAGUUUUCCUAUCUGUACAAUGGGCAUAUUAAUAACUACCUCUUUGCUGUGGGAAUUAAAUAAGAUUACAUAUGAUGGACUUAAACAGUGCCUGAUACACAGUAUGUAUUCCAAAAAUCUUAGUUGUUACUUAUUUUCGUCCUUCACCCUAACUCUCCCACCUUUAAAAGAUGUUUAGCUGUUUGCUUUUGUAAACAGUUUCAAAUCCUUUUUGGAACAAAGCUGCCUGUAAAUUAGUAAUCUGUAUUGCCAGGGGCUUCUUAAAUAGUUGUAUACCUUAUGGUGACAACUCCAGUGUAAGAGAGUAAUUAGACACAGGGUCAAUUGCAAUAUGCCAGCAUCUAUCCUAAGACUGAAAAUGUUCAUAACCUUUGACAUAAUAAUUUUAUUUUUUGACUCUACAUGUGGAAAAAAGUUAAAACAAUUUUAUAUAUAUGUGAAGCUCAUAGUCUUUUUUUUUCCCCACAGUCCUAAUAAUAGCUAAAGCUUGCAAAUAAUCUGAAUGUCCUUUAAAAGAGAAAUGGUUAAAUUAUUCACUCAAGCAAACCUUAUGCAGUCGUGAAAGUAAUGUUUUUGAAAAUGGUAUGAUAGUGUGAUAAAUGCUUAUGAUGUACAACCCAGGGGGAAAAGCAGUUUACUGAAUUGUGUCUCCAAGAUGAUGACAGCAACCUGUGAAAUUUUGUUAAAAAAAAAAAAAAAGAUGGGAAGGAAAUAUACCAGCUUGUUCAUAAUGGAUUUUGAGUGGAAAAACAAUGGGUGAUUUUUAAAUCCUUUUUUUCUAUGCAUUUCUGUAAUUACCGGUUUUCUCUAAUAAUGACUCCCCUACCCACACACAAUGCCAUGUAAGGCCCCUGUUCAUAACUCAUGGAUCAAUCAUUGCAAAGGACAGCUCAGUUUGAACUGUUUUCUUUGGGCAUGACGGCAUCUUUAUCUCAUUAGAAAGGCAGUUGCCUAAGGUAGACUGUUGAACGGAGGAGUGGCUGGGGGACCGUAUCAGGGGGCAACUUGAUGUGGAUUUCUGUCCGUUGGCUUUUCUUAGACGGAUGGAAUGAGAGAAAGCAGAGCACCUUUAGAUAAGAGAGUGAGGAAGCAGACUUUUUGUACCAGUCACAGAAGUUACAGAAAUUGAAAAUCAGGAAAAUGGAAUUCCAGAGCAGAAUUCUUUGCCUGAUUUGGGGGGGGGGGUUGUCAAACAUUUUCUCUUUAAAAAAGUAAGCAAAAUCGAAUUGAAACAUGUUGUUCUUGUCAUUCCUGUUCUAGUAACAUUUAUUUAGCCUAAAGUCAUCAAAUUAAAGACAUUUAAAAAAAAAAAAGAAAAAA
ensembl:lncRNA